CGCCAGGAUUGAACGCUGGUGGAUGCUUUACACAUGCAAGUCGAACGGCACGGACUUCGGUCUGGUGGCGAGUGGCGAACGGUGAGAAUAUCGGAACGCCUAGUAGCGUGGGGGGAUAACUACGCGAAAGCGCAGCUAAUACCGCAUACGCCCUUCGGGGAAAGGACCUUUCGGGCCUCGCACUAUUAGAGCGGCUGAUAUCGGAUUAGCUAGUUGGUGGGGUAACGGCUCACCAAGGCGACGAUCCGUACGGCUUGAGAGGACGACCAGCCACACUGGGACUGAGACACGGCCCAGACUCCUACGGGAGGCAGCAGUGGGGAAUUUUGACAAUGGGGGAAACCCUGAUCCAGCCACAUCUCCGCGUGUGCGAUGAAGGCCUUCGGGUUGUAAAAGUACCUUCUUGGCAGGAAGAAACGGUACGGGAUAAUACCCUGUGCAACUGACGGUACCUGCAGAAUAAGCACCGGCUAACUACGUGCCAGCAGCCGCGGUAAUACGUAGGUGUGUAGCAGACCGGAAUUACUGGCGUAAAGGCGGCAGCAGGCGGUUCGGAAAGAAAGAUGUGAAACUUCAGAGCUUAACUUUGGAACUGCAUUUUUAACUACCGAGCUAGAGUGUGUCAGAGGGAGGUGGAAUUCGCGUGUAGCAGUGAAAUGCAGAUAUAUGGAGGAACACCGAUGGCGAAGGCAGCCUCCCGGGAUAACACUGACGCUCAUGCACACGAAAGCGUAGUAGCAAACAGAUUAGAUACCCCAGUAGUCCACGCCCCAAACGAUGUCAAUCCAGCUGUUGGGGCCUUCGGCCCGGUAGCGCAGCUAACGCGUGAAGUUGACCGCCUGGGAGUACGGUCGCAAGAUUAAAACUCAAAGGAAUUGACGGGACCCGCACAAGCGGCGUGGAUGAUGUGAUUAACGAUGCAACGCGAAAAACCCACUACCUCGACAUACCCGGAAUCCUGAAGAUUUGGGAGUGCUCGUAAAAGAGAACCGGAACACAAAGCGGCGGCUGUCGUCAGUUUGUGUGUCGUGAGAUGUUGGGUUAAGUCCCGCAACGAGCGCAACCUUUAUUACUAGUUGCCACGAAAGGGCACUCUAAUGAGACCGUUGCAUAACCGAGAAGGUGAUGACGUCAAGUCUCAUGGCCCUUAGUGGUAGGGCUUCACACGUCAUACAAUGAGCCGGAUAGAGGGUCGCCAACCCGCGAGGGGGAGCUAAUCCCAGAAACCCGAUCGUAGUCCGACGCAGUCUGCAACCUGACCGCGGAAGUCGAAUCGCUAGUAAUCGCGGAUCAGCAUGUCGCGGUGAAUACGUUCUGGUCUUGUACACACCGUCUGUCACACCAUGGGGCAACAGAAGUAGUUAGCCCAACCGUAAGGAGGCGAUUACCACGGUAGGAUUCAUGACUGUGGAAGUCAUCAUGUAG
rnacentral:rRNA from 1 species